GCACUGCUGAGGAGUCCCAUAAUAGAACGAAACGGCCGUUCAGUGU
rfam:Schistosoma rodhaini strain Burundi genome assembly, scaffold: SROB_scaffold0005221